rnacentral:rRNA from 1 species
AGCAGCCGCGGUAAUUCCAGCUCCAAUAGCGUAUAUUAAAGUUGUUGCAGUUAAAAAGCUCGUAGUUGAAUUUCGGGGUUAGUAGGCUGGUCGUGCCACUGGUACGUACUGGUCUCACUGACUCCUCCUUCCUGAUGAACUGUAAUGCCAUUAAUUUGGUGUUGCAGGGAAACUGGACUGUUACUUUGAAAAAUUAGAGUGUUUAAAGCAAGCUAACGCUUGAAUACAUUAGCAUGGAAUAAUGAAAUAGGACGUUCGAUCCUAUUUUGUUGGUUUCUAGGAUUGACGUAAUGAUUAAUAGGGAUAGUUGGGGGCAUUAGUAUUCAAUUGUCAGAGGUGAAAUUCUUGGAUUUAUUGAAGACUAACUACUGCGAAAGCAUUUGCCAAGGAUGUUUUCAUUAAUACAAGAACGAAAGUUAGGGGAUCGAAGACGAUCAGAUA